UGGGGAAUAUUGGACAAUGGGGGCAACCCUGAUCCAGCGACGCCGCGUGAAUGAAGAAGGUCUUCGGAUUGUAAAGUUCUUUUGCCUGAGAGCAAGUGUAUAUGGUUAAGAGCUGUGUACAUUGAGAGUAUCAGGAGAAUAAGCACCGGCUAACUACGUGCCAGCAGCCGCGGUAAUACGUAGGGUGCAAGCGUUAAUCGGAAUUACUGGGCGUAAAGGGUGUGUAGGCGGAAAUAUAAGUUAGAUGUGAAAUACCUGGGCUUAACCUGGGAGGUGCAUUUAAGACUGUAUAUCUAGAAUACUUCAGAGGGGGGUAGAAUUCCGAGUGUAGCAGUGAUAUGCGUAGAUAUUCGGAGGAAUACCGAUGGCGAAGGCAACCCCCUGGGGAGAUAUUGACGCU
rnacentral:rRNA from 1 species